rnacentral:tRNA from 1 species
UUUGGCACAGUAGGUAGCGCAUCAGUCUUGCAAGCUGAAGGUCCAGGAGUUCAAGCCUGGAA